GACGAACGCUGGCGGCGUGCUUAACACAUGCAAGUCGUACGGUAAGGCCCUUUCGGGGGUACCCGAGUGGCGAACGGGUGAGUAACACGUGAGUAACCUGCCCACAACUUUGGGAUAACGCUAGGAAACUGGUGCUAAUACUGGAUAUGUGCUCCUGCUGCAUGGUGGGGGUUGGAAAGCUCCGGCGGUUGUGGAUGGACUCGCGGCCUAUCAGCUUGUUGGUGGGGUAGUGGCCUACCAAGGCGGCGACGGGUAGCCGGCCUGAGAGGGUGACCGGCCACAUUGGGACUGAGAUACGGCCCAGACUCCUACGGGAGGCAGCAGUGGGGAAGAUUGCACAAUGGGCGCAAGCCUGAUGCAGCAACGCCGCGUGCGGGAUGACGGCCUUCGGGUUGUAAACCGCUUUCAGCAGGGACGAAGCUUUUUGUGACGGUACCUGCAGAAGAAGCACCGGCUAACUACGUG
rnacentral:rRNA from 1 species